rnacentral:rRNA from 1 species
CAGUCGCCGCGGUAAUACGUAGGGUGCAAGCGUUAAUCGGAAUUACUGGGCGUAAAGCGUGCGCAGGCGGUUGUGCAAGACAGAUGUGAAAUCCCCGGGCUUAACCUGGGAACUGCAUUUGUGACUGUAUAGCUAGAGUACGGCAGAGGGGGAUGGAAUUCCGCGUGUAGCAGUGAAAUGCGUAGAUAUGCGGAGGAACACCGAUGGCGAAGGCAAUCCCCUGGGCCUGUACUGACGCUCAUGCACGAAAGCGUGGGGAGCAAACAGGAUUAGAGACCCCUGUAGUCCCUGUCUCUUAUAC